CCCAAGUCUGCACGGUCUGAUUAACCCAAAUCUUAGAACACUGAUCCCAGAGAGGGAAGAAACCAUCUGUGGAAUUUACCCCUGGGUGGACCUGACGUCCUGAGAGUUAACAGAAUCCAAGGAGAACCUGACAACUUUUCACUGAGCAAGGAACUGAUCACACUAAAGUAGGUGGAACUUUAUCCUUGGUCAGCUUGAGGUAUUAUUGCACUGCAAACCGAUCAAUCCUGCCUGAUCCUCCAAAGUCUGCAGAAGCCUAAAUGGAUUGUUCCACAGUCUGCCCAAAGGACUUGGACUUCAUCCUCUACAACACAGAAGAAGAGAUCCAAUGUCAAAUUAGGACAAAGCUACCUGGACCAAGAUGUGCCCAAUUGUAUGGCUGUUUAUUCUGCUAACUUGUUUUACCAAGAAGAUACGUGGAUCCGUUUUCAAAUCCAAAGAAAUCUGAUGCAAACAAAAAUAUCCCUAACAUGUAGGAAGUGAAGAAGCAUAGUAAUAAGAUGAACUGUGAGGCCACCAAACAGCUUAUGAACUAGUUACGACAAUUCCAUUGAAGCUACCUGGAUGCACCCCCCACUGCCUCCAUCCCGCCUGCCAUUGAAGAAAUUGUUUUAGGCAACAUGGUGGCAGAGACAAAGAUUUUCUCACAAGUGUUCUACCUCCUUGGAAACUGCUCUCAUUCCCCUCAGGUCUCUUCCUCCUCCUCCUCACCUAUAGGAUCACUAACCACAAGUUCUUCAGUCUCCCUGGUUAAAAAGAAGCAUACGGUAA